rnacentral:misc_RNA from 1 species
GAUCUUUUUAACUUCUGUAGCAGGAAGCUUUCAUUGAAGACAGUUCUUAUGCUUGCAGAUCAAAUGAUCAACCGUGUUGAGUUUGUCCACUCUAAGUCCUUUCUACACCGAGAUAUUAAGCCGGACAAUUUUCUGAUGGGGCUAGGAAGGCGUGCAAAUCAGGUUUACAUCAUUGAUUUUGGUCUUGCUAAGAAGUAUAGAGAUAGUUCUACCCAUCAACACAUUCCUUACAGAGAAAACAAGAACUUGACUGGGACUGCAAGAUAUGCUAGCAUGAACACCCAUCUUGGGAUAGAGCAAAGUCGAAGGGAUGACUUGGAGUCUCU